GGCAACUGCUGUUUGCUACUUCAGAACACUAUAACAUCAAGACGAAUGCACGACUUUCUUCUCACCUAAAUACAAGAACUCAUUUCUGUCUUUGAGUGAUCACUGAAUAUGGACAGACUUCCUCACGACAUAUGUGACGGUGCAUGUCGUACAGCACUCAGCUGCUUGUGUGGGAUCUACGAGAUGCUCGUGAACGUGUUUUCAUGUGGAGAAAAUCUCCUGUAUGGAAUUGGAGAAAAUGAUCUGCUCGGUACAAAUCACGACGCUGGAAGUCUUUCAUGGAUCUGUAGAGAAGAAAGGACGCACUGAACUUCGGGUCACCGAUGCUUCAGUCUGCACUGACAGUCUACCAUCUAGAAGCAGAAAAAUUUUACCUUUAAUAAAAUUAAAUGAAAAACCAA